rnacentral:rRNA from 1 species
AUUGAACGCUGGCGGCAUGCCUUACACAUGCAAGUCGAACGGCAGCACGGGAGCUUGCUCCUGGUGGCGAGUGGCGAACGGGUGAGUAAUGCAUCGGAACGUGCCCUGAAGUGGGGGAUAACGUAGCGAAAGUUACGCUAAUACCGCAUAUUCUGUGAGCAGGAAAGCAGGGGAUCUUCGGACCUUGCGCUUUUGGAGCGGCCAAUGUCGGAUUAGCUAGUUGGUGGGGUAAAGGCCCACCAAGGCGACGAUCCGUAGCGGGUCUGAGAGGAUGAUCCGCCACACUGGAACUGAGACACGGUCCAGACUCCUACGGGAGGCAGCAGUGGGGAAUUUUGGACAAUGGGCGCAAGCCUGAUCCAGCCAUGCCGCGUGAGUGAAGAAGGCC